AAGUAUUCAACUGAGCAGAAAAGUUCUGCAAUAAAAUGAUAGAAUGCCAGUUGAUGAUAAUAAAUAUUCAAGUAAACAUAAAUACCAGAAAUAUAGCAGUUAUAGUUGAAAGAAUAAACAAAGAAAGAAGAUUUGUAAAAGUCAUUUUGCUUGUCAAAUAAUAGGCACAUAUAUAAAAGAAUGAUCUUCCAAGCAUAAAGAAGGGUCUUAAUUUCAUCCAUGGUCACUAAGCAUCAAUUUGUCGCAUAAAAGUCACUAAAUUUUAAUUUGUUCCAAUAAGAUUAUUAUUUUGAAAAAAAAAAUAAUAUUUAAAACUGAGCUAUGGUAGUUUCUUACUUGGCCAUUUUGAUUCAGGAUUAAAGCUAAAAACAGUGUCCUAUUGCAUGAGACUUUCCACAUUGCAGGCUCUAGGGAGGCUUGGAUUUAAGGCAUAGUGUAUGCUGGAAUCCCAUAAGUACAGGAAUUAAUUUAGUUUCUAUAUAUAGCUGAUUCCUAGUAACAAUGUAAUUAAUUUUUGUUUCAUUUCUUAGAUUUAGCUUCCUAUUCUAACGUUAGAUUAAUGUACAGAUAUAUAUAUGAGGCAUAUACAUAUCUUUAUUCAUUGAGAAAUACACUAGAUAAUUCUCUUCAAAAUCUCUGGUCUUCAUCAUGGUAUCAGAGCUUUCGAUUCAUUAGGGUGGGCUUAGUACCGUUUAUGUUUACUGUUCAUCAAACCAGUUCAUAGACACUGUUCACCGAAACAGUUCGUAGACACUGUUUACCAGCACUGUUCAUGGCAGGUGGACCAUUUUUCCAGCUUUUUUUCAACUGUAUCUCAUGUGUCACGCCUCUAUCCAACCCUUGUCCUUGACCUGACCACAAACGAAUGUGCAAAAUAGUGGAUUACUCUGAAGAAACAAAUGAUAUUGGGAAUUUUGUUCAAUGAAGAAGCCCAAUCCCUAAAGCGUUUGUUGUCUUGGCUUGAAUCUCAAUCUUCUACCGUUGUCUCUUCCAAUUUUGUUAAAUCAAGCAAUACUUUUUUCGUGAAUCUUGACAAAUACUUUUGCGUUAUAAAUUUUGGAGCAAACAAACAUAUAACAGGCUUUUUAAAUAAAUUUUCUACUUAUACUUCAUAUUCAGGAAAAGAAAAAAUCCGCAUAGAGGACGAAUUCUUAGCAAUUAUUUCUAGAACAAGUUUUGUUGCUUUGCACUCCCACCAUUGUUUCAAAUCGUGGUCACGAGUAAAGGAAACAAGCCAGUAACGGCCUAGCUCUACACAAAUUUUUUGAAAAUUUUGUGAAGUUCAUUAAAAAAAAACUAGAUAUUAGUAGACACUAAUAAAACUAAGAUACACAACCAUAUGACAAGCACAAAUAUAUCAAAUAAAGAUAUU
rnacentral:misc_RNA from 1 species